rnacentral:rRNA from 1 species
AUGCCUGUACCAUAACCGACACAGGUGGGUAGGUAGAGUAUACUAAGGGGCGCGAGAUAACUCUCUCUAAGGAACUCGGCAAAAUGACUCCGUAACUUCGGGAGAAGGAGUGCCCUAUUUAUAAGGUUGCAAUAACAAGAUCCAAGCAACUGUUUAUCAAAAACACAGGUCUCCGCUAAGUCGUAAGACGAUGUAUGGGGGCUGACGCCUGCCCAGUGCCAGAAGGUUAAAGAAGUUGGUUAGUGUAUGCGAAGCUGAUGACUGAAGCCCUGGUGAACGGCGGCCGUAACUAUAACGGUCCUAAGGUAGCGAAAUUCCUUGUCGGGUAAGUUCCGACCCGCACGAAAGGCGUAAUGAUUUGGAUACUGUCUCGGAGAGAGGCUCGGUGAAAUAGACUUGUCUGUGAAGAUGCGGACUACCUGCACCAGGACAGAAAGACCCUAUGAAGCUUUACUGUAACUUGAAAUUGGAAUUGGACUUUGCUUGCGCAGUAUAGGUGGGAAGCGUUGAAGAUAUUCUUGCGGGAGUAUUGGAGCUAUCAGUGAGAUACCACUCUUGUAAUGUUAGAUUUCUAACUUUGAACCAUAAUCUGGUCAAAGAACAGUUUCAGGUGGGCAGUUUGACUGGGGCGGUCGCCUCCCAAAUGGUAACGGAGGCGUACAAAGGUUUCCUCUGAACGGAUAGAAAUCGUAUCUAGAGUAAAAGGCAUAAGGAAGCUUGACUGUGAGACCUACAAGUCGAGCAGGGACGAAAGUCGGUCUUAGUGAUCUGACGGUACUGAGUGGAAAGGCCGUCACUCAACGGAUAAAAGUUACUCUAGGAUAACAGGCUGAUCUCCCCCAAGAGUUCACAUCGACGGGGAGGUUUGGCACCUCGAUGUCGGCUCAUCGCAUCCUGGGGCGGUAGUACGUCCCAAGGGUUGGGCUGUUCGCCCAUGAAAGCGGUACACGAGCUGGGUUCAGAACGUCGUGAGACAGUUCGGUCCAUAUCCGGUGUAGGCGUUAGAAUAUUGAGAGGAGCCUUCUUUAGUACGAGAGGACCGAGAAGGACACACCGCUGGUGUACCAGUUAUCGUGCCAACGGUAAACGCUGGGUAGCUAUGUGUGGAGUGGAUAACCGCUGAAAGCAUCUAAGUGGGAAGCCCACCUCAAGAUGAGUAUUCUCAUCACUAUAAGUGAGUAAGGUCACGGUAAGACUAACCGUUUGAUAGGCAUUAAGUGUAAAUGUAGUAAUGCAUGUGCUGAGAUGUCCUAACAGACCGAGGAC